CCUACGGGAGGCAGCAGUGGGGAAUAUUGCACAAUGGGGGAAACCCUGAUGCAGCGACGCCGCGUGAGUGAGGAAGUCUUUCGGUAUGUAAAGCUCUAUCUGCAGGGAAGAAAAUGACGGUACCUGACCAAGAAGCCCCGGCUAACUACGUGCCAGCAGCCGCGGUAAUACGAAGGGGGCAAGCGUUAUCCGGAUUUACUGGGUGUAAAGGGAGCGUAGACGGAAUAGCAAGUCUGAUGUGAAAACCCGGGGCUCAACGCCGGGAGUGCAUUGGAAACUGUUGAGCUGGAGUGCCGGAGAGGCAGGCGGAAUUCGUGGUGUAGCGGUGAAAUGCGUAGAUAUCAGGAGGAACACCGGUGGCGAAGGCGGCUUGCUGGACGGUGACUGACGUUGAGGCUCGAAAGCGUGGGGAGCAAACAGGAUUAGAUACCCGUGUAGUC
rnacentral:rRNA from 1 species